GAAAUUGGUGAUCACAUGACCCUGGAAUCCUGCAACCAUUGUAAAACCAUGUUGGUUGCCAAGUGCCUGAAUUUGAACACAUAACACACUGCAACAGUUAUGUUGAUCCAAGGAAUGGCCACAUCAAGAACAGGAAGCAUAACAGGAAAUUAUCUCAAAGAAGCAGUACUUCCUGUUGUGUGGUGCUGAUUCAAACUAGAAUGACCUGCAAAGCCAUGGGUCUGGAAGUUCUUAAAUCACCUUGAAAUAUUCCAAGGAAUGGAGAAAAUAAUUUUAAUCUUUCCAAGUGAAGAGGAUCAUAAAGAUAAUGUGUAAACUGAUUGGAAAAUUGGAAAGUUAUUUAUUCCUUUUAUGACAUGUUACACAUGAUUAUAAUAAGCAGGUAUUAAUUUUCAUUAAAUGUAAUAUUUUGGAGGUGAAA